rnacentral:rRNA from 1 species
AUACGGAGGGUGCAAGCGUUGUUCGGAAUCACUGGGCGUAAAGGGCGCGCAGGCGGUUUGGUAAGUCAGAUGUGAAAGCCCACGGCUCAACCGUGGAAGUGCAUUUGGAACUGUCAGACUUGAGUACUAGAGGGGAAAGUGGAAUUCCCGGUGUAGAGGUGAAAUUCGUAGAUAUCGGGAGGAAUACCGGUGGCGAAGGCGACUUUCUGGCUAGAUUCUGACGCUGAGGCGCGAAAGCGUGGGGAGCAAACAGGAUUAGAAACCCCGGUAGUCC